rnacentral:lncRNA from 1 species
CAAAGCUUCCCAGAACGUUGCUGGGAGCAUCCAGGCUCCAAAUCUGCAUGAAUUUCCACUUCAAACGCUGCACAGAAGCAUCUUUAUCACUCAAACCGCCCGCCCAGCUCCCCCCAGUGAAGGAUUCUCCCAUCCCUCUCCAAAAGCUCUGCUGAAGUUAAAAAAAACAAAGCCCCGAGUGACACAAAACCCAGGCAAACAAAAGGCCCAGAGCUUGGUCCUGGUGGUUCCUGUCUGGAAAUGUCCCAGCUCAGCUUGGUGAGGGUCGGGAGCAAAGCACUGGAGAUCUGAAACUGGAAAUGAGGAGCUCUGACCGCAGCAGAUUCCCACAUUUCAUCCAACUGCAUUCCCAAACCCGGCCCUUCCUGAGAAGGGAAGCAGGGCCGGGAAAAGUCCUUCCAGAGUCACCCAGAGGAGCAGAAUGGACUCGGUGGCGUGGCAGGGCAGAGCUGUCCAGAAGGGUUUGAGAUCUCCUAGAGCAGCUAAAAAAACCAAAGCAAGGCGGAGAGCGUGAGAAGAGCCUGAUGAAAUAUUGAAGAUUUGAAGAUGAUAUCUUUAUUUUCCGUUGGGUUU